UGCACACAUGAAGAGGAGGCAUCCCACCUCACUCCGAUUUCUUAAUUGGAUUUUCUAUUUAGGCAAGGAUGAGUUCUAAUUGGAUUAGACUCCUACUUCUUUGGGUUUUGAUUAGAUUGUGGCAUCACCUAUUUGAGGGGAGAAUCUAAUCCAUGAUGAGGAGGUCCUAUGUUUUGUGCAACAAAAUUAAAAAGAAAAUUAUCAUGAGGAAUAAA
rnacentral:lncRNA from 1 species